rnacentral:rRNA from 1 species
CCAGAGAACUUUCCAGAGAUGGAUUGGUGCCUUCGGGAACUCUGAGACAGGUGCUGCAUGGCUGUCGUCAGCUCGUGUUGUGAAAUGUUGGGUUAAGUCCCGCAACGAGCGCAACCCUUUAUCCUUUUGUUGCCAGCGGUUAGGCCGGGAACUCAAAGGAGACUGCCAGUGAUAAACUGGAGGAAGGUGGGGAUGACGUCAAGUCAUCAUGGCCCUUACGAGUAGGGCUACACACGUGCUACAAUGGCGCAUACAAAGAGAAGCGACCUCGCGAGAGCAAGCGGACCUCAUAAAGUGCGUCGUAGUCCGGAUUGGAGUCUGCAACUCGACUCCAUGAAGUCGGAAUCGCUAGUAAUCGUGGAUCAGAAUGCCACGGUGAAUACGUUCCCGGGCCUUGUACACACCGCCCGUCACACCAUGGGAGUGGGUUGCAAAAGAAGUAGGUAGCUUAACCUUCGGGAGGGCGCUUACCACUUUGUGAUUCAUGACUGGGGUGAAGUCGUAACAAGGUAGGCGUAGUGCU